rnacentral:rRNA from 1 species
GACGAACGCUGGCGGCGUGCUUAACACAUGCAAGUCGAGCGGUAAGGCCCUUUCGGGGGUACACGAGCGGCGAACGGGUGAGUAACACGUGGGUGACCUGCCCUCAGCUCUGGGAUAAGCCUGGGAAACUGGGUCUAAUACCGGAUAUGACUCCAUGACGCAUGUUGUGGGGUGGAAAGCCUUGUGCGGCUGAGGAUGGGCCCGCGGCCUAUCAGCUUGUUGGUGGGGNGAUGGCCUACCAAGGCGACGACGGGUAGCCGGCCUGAGAGGGCGACCGGCCACACUGGGACUGAGACACGGCCCAGACUCCUACGGGAGGCAGCAGUGGGGAAUCUUGCGCAAUGGGCGAAAGCCUGACGCAGCGACGCCGCGUGAGGGAUGAC